CCUACAAUCUUGAAGCCCAUGAAGAAAUAAUCUCUGGACUGAAAGGGCCAUGCAUUGUGCUACUCUAACCGAUUCUUUUAAGGCUUUUAUGAAUCCAUUGGGAUAAAUUGAAUAUACCUCAAGUAUAAGACUACCUAAUCCCACUAUUAAAUUAGAUAAUGAUAAACAGGGACUUAGCUGAGGGCCAUCCCAUGAUUUGUCAUUGCUCCAAGCUACAAAAGCAUGAUGUAAUCAUGGAUAUCUAAUUAUCACAUCACAGAUAACCGCUGAAAGCUGGGGAGGAAUUCCUUCUGCAACUUGACCAGUAUUCAGCUACAAGCUUGGAAAAGGCGGAGUUUGUCCCCAUAAGUCUUGUAGGUUCAUCAUACUCUAUUAAUUUACCUGCAAAUCCAAGCGAUCCCAUGAUUUCAGUGAUUCCUUUGAGAACCAAUGGAGCAUUUGGACGAUAUCUUAUCUGCAGCGAUGCAUAAGUCAAAUGAUCCAAACAUAGCAUCAUUUGUAUAUGAUGCAGCAAUAUAUAGAAGGCAGACAUAUAUAGUGGAGCCCUAUGAAGCAGCUUCAAUGGAUCAAAUAGAUUUUGAGAAUCAGUUGAUAUAUUUUGCUAAUGAUUUUGGCUGGGAUUAUUCAGGAUUCAAGGUUCCUAUUAUCUGAAAGAAAAUGACAAAUUUUCCACUCCUGAUAAGCCAUUUUGUAUUGAAUUUAUUUCCUUAAAGGACCAGCUUGAUUAAUCUACUGAUUUACUCACCUUGAGCUCUUGCAGCUCAAUCCUACCCUCGGAGGGCCAUGAUGAUGGUGGCAAUUUGUCAUCUAUUGUUGCUGGAGGCUCUGCUGGACUGUGGCUGUUUGAGCAUCUACAGCACUGAAAGGAUCAUCAAGAAGAUAGAUAUCUGCAUCAUUAUAAACAGCUCUAGCAAGUUGGAUCCUCUGCUUCUGUCCUCCACUCAUGUUGAUCCCUCUCUGACCUAUUUCUGUGAGAUCACCAUGAUCAAAAUUAUCAAUGUCCUUAUCCAGAGCACAUGACUUGAUAGCCCUUUUGUAUCUUUCUCCAUCCAUUGGUUUUCCAUAGAGUAUGUUGUCCCGGAUAGUCCCACUCUGGAUCCAAGAUGUUUGCGAAACAUAGGCUAUGGAUCCAGAUAAAGAAACCUAUUUGCAAGAAUUAAGGGGAAAAAAGUCAGUGAUAGCAGCAAAACCAUUGUUUGAUAAUAUAGCAAAAUACUAGUUGUGUAACUCACAGUUCCUGAAAUUUUUGGUAUUUCACCAAGCAUGGCAUGCAAGAUUGAUGAUUUCCCAGCUCCAACAGUGAUAUUCUUGGUACUUCAUUCUUCAGCUCAUGAUCAAGCAGAAAGGCGUUUAUUCUUUCGGUGGAGACUUUGACUUGCAUCAUAAUGGAAAGAGCUCCCGGUAUCAUUGUA